rnacentral:lncRNA from 1 species
CAAAAUGUUGUAUUUUUCUACAACAUGUUGUAGAAAAAUAUAAAUAAUGUUUAGGAAACUUGUAUUACAUCAACGGAUUUCAUUUAAAUACAGGAUUCUAUGAUUUGAACAAGCUGGCAGGUUCGAUAUUCCAUUGCUUCUCAAAACUCAGAACUUCAGCAACACCUUGAGCACUAAAUUCAGCAGUAGUAGGCAUAGAAAUUUUCAUCUCAAAAUGACGCCCUUAACAGUAGAAUCAAAGCAUUGGAAUCACAGCAAUAUUGAGUUAGAAUAACCACAACGCAUAGCUGAAUAGUGCAGGAUCUGCUUUAACAAAAAUAGCUCAAAACUUGCAAUUCAGUAGUGUAUUGUUGGCAUAUAAACUGAAGAAAAGCAGUUGAGCUAAUCGAAGCUAAAACUUUUGCAAAAUUCCCUCAACUAUUAAGAAAAACAAUAGUAACAACAAUCAAUUAAAGAAAUGUGAAAAUCUUCAUUGUUGAGCGAAAAAUGAACAACGUAGGGCUGUGAACAGCAAGUAUGAAAUCCUUUACAGCAACAUAAUACAAGCAGCAAAUUUUUUUCCAGGAAACCUGCAACUUAACCAACUAGACAAUAGUUUAUGUAACAAAAGCACUUAAUUCAACCAGAAGAACAUUUUAGAAGUAAAAACUAGAUUUCAAGCUAUCACAGCUAAACUCGAGCACAGUCUCAACGAACACAAUUUCGGCAGAUUAAGCUUACCGUAUGCUCAACCAAAUCACAAUGCAAACUGCUCAAUCUCUAGUUCAACUGAAUCCCCUCUAUUAAACUGAAUGACAACAACAACUAUUAGAAACCAAUGGUAACAAGGUUCAAGUUAGGAGAAAUUCUGCUAUCAAUUUACUCCAGAAACUUUUCCAUAAACAGUGGAAAAUUUUUAACAAAUAAGCUUCAGAGGUUUGCAGUUAUUGCACAAAGAUAACCGUGUACAAUGCAUGAUUUUCUUUCAAACAUGGCCCCCACCAACGAUUCAUAGAAUGAAUUAAAAUCACAAAACAAUGCUCCAACAAAUUAAGACUGAUCUCAACAGAAAUUUCGUCAGCAUGAAAGAACUUUGACAAGAGAAUUCCAACUUGAACUCUAAGAAUUUCAAUAGUAGAGUCCAUUGACACAACACAAUUCACACAAUUUUCAAACAAACAACUUCUGAAUUUUAAAACUAACCUAUGUGGCUAAAAGUGGUUAGAAGUAUAAAAUUUGGCUAUGACCCUGCAAAGCCAAGAACCUAAGAUUUACUAAGAAGAUCAGACCAUAUGUGGGUUACCUAUGUAUUACGCCCCGAAAGAUGAGAAUCAGAUUUGCAUAGUUCAAGCAAAUUGGAUACAGGCAAGAAAUAAAAAAAAACUAAUUUUUAAAGAAAAUAUUUUCUUUUAUCUCUUUUUUUUUUUAAAAAUGUUGAAAUAUGUAAACUCUUUUGGAUUUUUUUUCUUUUUAUUCGAUUUUCAGGAAAUGAUGAAAAAUAGUAAAUAUAUUUUUUUGAAUUUUCACAUAUCUUUUGUCUCGUUUUGUGAUAAAAAUAUAACAAAAGCAUAACUAGACCCUACUUGCUUUAUUUUCACACUUCACCCUCUUUUCUUUUCAUUGUUUUUCUUUUUUUUUUCUCAUUUUUUCAUUUACCCUUAGUUUUUAUUGGUCCGCCAAAUAACCCUUUCAUCAUUUAAAAAAUGCAACAUGUGGCAUAUGAAAUGCAUCAUGAUGGUCUUUUAAAUUGGGUACACCUGUCCUAGACAGGCCCUGUCUUGUGUUGAGUCUCCUAAGUCAAAUACAUGAUGCAAAUAAGUGUUCCUACUAUGGAUUAGGCAUGAGGUCAAGUUAUUCUAAAUUCAAAAACCUGAGUAUGUGUUUUAGACAGUGUACCCGAGCGGACAACUCGAGUCGAGGAGGGGGCUACGUACCAAAAACCAAAAGGCCAUCCGGCUUAGUAAAUUGUCCGGCCUCUUUCAUAUUUCAUGGUAUGACACUAACAUAAUAGGGAGUCUCAACUAGUAAGUACACCUCGGCAAGGAAUUCUGUUAUGAACCUACGUGCAUUUUUGAAUCUUUUAACCACCUUUAUUAUUUUUCUUAAAGAGAAUUGCAACGUCGUUAAAACAUAUAUCGAACCACGUCACAUAUAUGCACCCGUGGUUUUUGACACAUUUCAGCUUCGCUGAAAUUUGGAUUUGGGUCACAUAAAUGUGCACCAAAAUUUAUAAAAAUUAAUAUAAAGUACGCAUCUAAUGCAAUUACGUGUUUAUUUAUUUUCCUAAUCUUUAAUGAAUUGGAUUUGGGUCACAUAAAUGUGCACCCGAAUUUAAAAAAAUUAAUUUAAAGUACGCGUCUGAAGCAAUUACGUCUUUAUUUAUUUUCCUAAUCUUUAAUAUUGUUGUAAAGAUUUAAGAGUUAUAAAAACUAUUGUAGACAGAAAUAUGAUUCGAUCCUUUGGGAAGUAUUCAUCACAAGAAUGGAGAAGAAUAUGUUGGACUCAUAGGUGUUACUAAUCCUGGCUCAGAUCUUUAUAAAUUCAAACUAACCUCACAUGCUAAACCAUUUUUCACUAUGCUCACGCCUAUUUUUAGACUCUAUCAGUAGAUACAAUUCCAGUUCUCCUCAACAAAAUUCAAAUUGCUUUAAUUUUAGACCCAACAGAUCGAUUCUCUACCUCAAAAUGAAAUGGCUAGUAUAUUUACCAGCCACAAAUCCAUUAACAGUGCAUUAGCUAUUUAACACAAUCCAAAAAUCAAGACUUUGAUUCUAGCUACACCCAAAACCUAUUGUUGUCCAAGUUCUAAAAGAAUUAAAUUCACAAUAAAGUAAUUAAAUUAUUCACAUUAAAGAUCCAAUAACAGACCCAAAUAAACACAUGGAAAAGGUCAGAUGGCAAACGAAAAUUUAAACAAGAGAACACUAAGGAAUUCAAAUAGCAAAGGUAAGAAUAAACCUUAAUAUUCAGUAAAUAAAAUUCUUCAGCAGAUGAAAACACGAAGCUUCCGACAUCAACAAAAUAUAUGAAUUCCAAAGAUUACAACUCCAAUAAAUAGCUCUUCAGUAGAUGAAAGCACGAAGCUUCCUACAUCAACAAAAUAUAUGAAUUCCAAAGAUUACAACUCCGAUAAAUAGCUCCAACAAGAUCUGCGACAUGAACACUCGAAAUACGACCUCGACUCUCUUUGUGGUGAUUUAAGAUCUGAUUGGAGUUGGAUCUUGGACUGGUUUACAGCUGAGCUUGAGCUCUGUUUCGCCUGUUUCCAUGGAGUUUCAAGGCUAUUUUAUGGCUAAUUUUUCUGGGUUUUAGGUUGGAAAAUAGAGCUGGUUUUGAAUGAUUUUGGUCGAAUUAGAGGGUUGUUUUUGGUUGCGUUUUGGGGGUGUUCCAGGAAUGAUUUUUGAGUUGAUUUUGCAGUCGCUUCAAGCUAUAUCAUUGGGAGAAGACAAGGUGGUUUAUGGGGUUAAGUUUGGAGUGUUUAAUGCAGCUUUUUAUUUGUGUUUCAAUGAGCUCCCAUGGUGAAAACGGGAAGAAGAAAAACUGUCGAGAUGGUGAAGAAAACCAAUAGCUGCGUAGCUUUCUUCAAGCCUCCCUUUUCUGUGUAUAGGCGCGUGUUUAUCUCUUGUGUAUCUAUCCGUAUAUGUGUGUUAGGGUUUGUAGGUGAG